rnacentral:rRNA from 1 species
UACAGAGGGUGCGAGCGUUAAUCGGAAUUACUGGGCGUAAAGCGUGCGUAGACGGUUAUUUAAGUCGGGUGUGAAAGCCCCGGGCUCAACCUGGGAAUUGCGUUGGAGACUGCAAGGCUGGAGUCUGGCAGAGGGGGGUAGAAUUCCACGUGUAGCAGUGAAAUGCGUAGAGAUGUGGAGGAACACCGAUGGCGAAGGCAGCCCCCUGGGUCAAGAUUGACGCUCAUGCACGAAAGGCGUGGGGAGCAAACAGG